rnacentral:rRNA from 1 species
CAGCAGCCGCGGUAAUACGGAGGGCGCGAGCGUUACCCGGAUUUACUGGGCGUAAAGGGCGUGUAGGCGGCCUGGGGCGUCCCAUGUGAAAGGCCACGGCUCAACCGUGGAGGAGCGUGGGAUACGCUCAGGCUAGAGGGUGGGAGAGGGUGGUGGAAUUCCCGGAGUAGCGGUGAAAUGCGCAGAUACCGGGAGGAACGCCGAUGGCGAAGGCAGUCACCUGGUCCACUUCUGACGCUGAGGCGCGAAAGCGUGGGGAGCAAACCGGAUUAGAUACCCCCGUAGUCCCUGUCUCUUAUAC